rnacentral:rRNA from 1 species
AACGAACGCUGGCGGCAGGCUUAACACAUGCAAGUCGAGCGGACCCUCCUUCAAGCAGGCUUGAAGGUGAUUUUAGAAUCAUCAAGCAAGCAGGCUUGCUUGAUGGGGGGUCAGCGGCGGACGGGUGAGUAACGCGUGGGAACGUGCCCUUCUCUCUGGAAUAGCCCCGGGAAACUGGGAGUAAUGCCGGAUACGCCGGCCUCGAGUGGAUCGGGGCUGGGAAAGAUUUAUCGGGGAAGGAUCGGCCCGCGUCGGAUUAGGUAGUUGGUGGGGUAACGGCCCACCAAGCCGACGAUCCGUAGCUGGUUUGAGAGGAUGAUCAGCCACACUGGGACUGAGACACGGCCCAGACUCCUACGGGAGGCAGCAGUGGGGAAUCUUGGACAAUGGGGGCAACCCUGAUCCAGCCAUGCCGCGUGAGCGAUGAAGGCCUUAGGGUUGUAAAGCUCUUUCAGCGGGGAAGAUAAUGACGGUACCAGCAGAAGAAGCCCCGGCUAACUCCGUGCCAGCCGCCGCCGUAAAAC